AUUUUCUGGAGGUUCAUCAGGCGCGGAACUCAUCAAGGCGCGGGAAUAAAAUCCCAUUCAGACGCCGGAGCUGACGAGUGGCGGACGGGUGAGUAAUGUCUGGGAAACUGCCUGAUGGAGGGGGAUAACUACUGGAAACGGUAGCUAAUACCGCAUAAUGUCGCAAGACCAAAGAGGGGGACCUUCGGGCCUCUUGCCAUCGGAUGUGCCCAGAUGGGAUUAGCUAGUAGGUGGGGUAACGGCUCACCUAGGCGACGAUCCCUAGCUGGUCUGAGAGGAUGACCAG
rnacentral:rRNA from 1 species